GCCGGCGCCUUGCCCAUGGCCGAGAGCGGGGACCGCGGCGGCGGCGGCGGCUCGCCGAGCCCGGAGCCGGCGGCUCGCCCCUGCCCUCCCGGCCGGCCGCCCCCCGCGCUGCCGCUGCCCCGCCUGGAGAAGCCCCUUCGGCAGGCCUUCUACAACACGGGCGCGCUGGUGCUGGCGGGGCUGUGCUGCGGCGCGGCGGUGCUGGUCUACUUCAUCCUGGAGGCCUUCCUGCGGCCGCUGCUGUGGGCCGCGCUGUGCGGCACCUUCCUGCACCCCUUCAAGAGCUCCCUGACGGCGCUGGGCCGGGCCUGGCUGCGCCGCCUGCGCCGCUCCGGGGCGCCCGUGCUGCCCGCCGCGCUGCUGCUGCCGCUCUGCUUCGCCAACGCCGCCGCCGAGGCGCUGGGCCGCCAGCUGCUCCGCCGGAGGAGGCUCCUGGUGCUGCUGGGCGCCGGCGGGCCCGCGCUCUACGGCUGCUACGCGCUCGGCGCCUCGCUCGGGGCCCGCGCCGCGCUCGCCCAGGCCGCCGGGGUCAUCGGCGCCGGGCUGGACUGCUUCAGCAGCCUCUGGAUAUGGACCUUGAUAGCAGGCUAUUUAUUGACUGUAUUAUUCAAGUGGAACCCAAGCACUGAACGUUACUUGAGAACAAUCUCUGUUCCUGUCUGGAUUCUACUGCUCUUCCAUUUGGCUUCUGCAGCAGGUUCUUGGAAGAUUCCAGUGUUUUUGGUUAUAGUUGUCUUAAUGACUGUGGGUAUGUUGCACGAGCACCCGAGUGGGAAAGAGUCUUCAGGGGUAGAACUUCCUGGUCAGAUGGUUUCUAUUGCAGCAUCUACAAUAGCCAUGGCAAUAUCAAUUACAGGAUUUGAAUCGAAUAAUGAGGAACAUUCACCGCAAUCCUCAGGAACCACAGAAAGUAGUGAAACAUCUUCUCCGUCUACUGUGAGUGGCAGACAGAGACCUGAGAUCGGAACACUUCUUAAAAAGAAGAAUACAAGUGAUAUCUACUUUGUUCUGCUUGCAUGGGCCAUUGUAAUAGUUCAGAUAUGGUUGAAUCUCUGGAUAAUACAGCUGCUGCCAGUACCUGUUGCAGUGUGGGUUGUCAAAAAGCUUGUGGUCCACUUUGGAGUAGUGAAAUUUCUGGUGAGUCACUGCAGUGUCUGGUGGCAUGUCCUUGAAGAUUUUGUGAGAGAACGUCAAGAAGCUCUUGCACCGCGACCAAUCAAGGGCCUCGGAAGAGUCAUUCUAAAGCUAGACAGUAAGCUGUGGCAUUGGCUUAAUAAGAAGAUGAUCGUGUGGCUGGAAAAAAUGCUAGAUAAAAUCAUUAGCAUUUUCAUUAUAUUUGUGCUAGUGAUAGGCACCCUUCUGCUAGCUCUGCUCCUUACAGCAAAGGUGCACCAAGAAAGCGUGCAUAUGAUUGAAGUCACAAGCAGCUUGAUCAAUGAAACUGUAGCCAAUCAUCCAGAAUGGGCCAACUGGCUUCCUGAAGCUCAGGUUUUUCAAAAGGCUUUGAAUUCAGCUGCCAAUAAUGUCUAUCAGUAUGGCCGAGAAUGGAUAACACAUAAGCUCCACAAAAUAUUAGGAGACAAAGUGAACAACACCGCUGUGAUUGAAAAACAAGUUCUGGAGCUCUGGGACAGACUAUAUCAUUCGUGGUUUGUGAAAAAUGUAACUCAUUCAGGAAGACACAAAGGACACAAGCCACAUUUAAACCGUCAAAACAGCUGGCCAGGUGACAUGCUUGAUUGGCAAGAUGUUGCCUCCUUUAUUCAUGAGAACAUUGAAACAUUUCUUUCGAUCCUGGAAUCCCUCUGGAUAGUGAUGAGCCACAAUGUGAGCCUCCUUUUCACCACAGUUACAACAUUAGUAACUGUUCUCUUUUACAGUGGCACUGCUCUUCUCAAUUUUGUGCUUUCACUGGUGAUUUUCCUGACCACAUUGUUCUACCUUUUAAGUUCCAGUGAUGAAUACUACAAGCCAGUGAAGUGGGUGAUCAACCUGACUCCCUUGUCACAGCCUGGCCCUUCCUCCAAUAUAGUUGGCCAGUCUGUCGAAGAGGCCAUAAGAGGUGUGUUUGAUGCAUCCCUCAAAAUGGCUGGGUUCUAUGGACUGUACACCUGGCUGACUCAUACUGUCUUUGGAAUUAACAUUGUCUUCAUACCAUCAGCACUGGCUGCACUUCUUGGAGUUGUUCCAUUUCUGGGAACAUACUGGGCAGCCAUCCCUGCUGUUCUAGACCUCUGGCUUGUACAGGGAGAAGGAUGCAAAGCUGUGCUUCUCUUGGUUUGCCAUCUGCUGCCAACAUAUUUUGUAGACACAGCAAUCUAUUCAGAUAUAUCCGGAGGGGGCCACCCAUACCUGACGGGCCUUGCAGUAGCUGGGGGAGCCUAUUACCUAGGAGUGGAAGGAGCCAUCAUAGGACCCAUAUUGCUCUGCACACUUGUGGUUGCUUCCAAUAUCUAUAGUGCUAUGCUUGUGAGCCCCACAAGUGCAUUGCCCACGCCAUCACAGAUGCCUUGGCCUUUGCAGAUAUACCGGUCUUCUAGAGAAAGUCCUGAGGAACAGAAAACUGCCACGGAAUGACACAUGGAGUAUUUAGGAAGAACUCCUCUUUCUUAAGCGAGCCUUGAGCUCAGGAGAGUCGUGGCCUUGGAUCCCUUCUCCAGCUGUGCCUCCUGGCAGCUUUCACUGAUGCAGCAUUCCCUGUUGAGCAUCCCUGUUGACACACGUUGCCUUAGGUCACGCACAUUUCCUUUAUACCAGAAAUCAACUUUAUGCCUACUGCAAAGAAGCCCCUUCAGUAGAGAACUAUUGCAUGGCAUUAGGUAUAACUAAUUUUUUAAAAGGAUAUUGAAAAUACUCUUUAAGAAUCCUGAAUUUUAGAUGGGAAGUAAAAUGUUAAAAUACUGACAUUUUGAAACAGUGAAAACUACUUACAUUGUGAGACUGACUGGCUAGCUUACCUCUUUUUACAGUGAAACUUGAUUUGCCUCAAGGUUAAAAACAAUUAGCUCUUUUAAAGUGUUCUUAGUGUAUUGCAACUUAAAUAAAUUACAUAAAAUUUUGGAGACAGAACAUGAGCAAAUUUGCAUUCAAGCUUUCACCUUAAAUAUUAAACCAUUUCUUUAGACUGCAGAUUGUAUGUUCUGACUGAGUACUACUUCACCCAAGAUACUACUUUUGAAAAACUGUGUACACUGUACAGUGAAGCAUAUGCCAAUGUGUUUCUCGUAAUAUGUGUUUUGGAAGCCAUAGUUUGUGGCAAAUUUGUGCAACAUUUAUACAGGAAAAAUGCACAUGUAGUAGAAAGGCACAUACAUUUUUCACACAAUAUUGAGCACCCAGGAAAAACAAUCUUAAUGUGUGUGAAGUUUUCUUUAAAAAAACUUACCGUACGUGAAGAAGCCCUAGUUUACUAAACCUCAAAAUAUAAUCUUCCAGUUGCUUUAUUAAAGACACGGGUAUCACAUCAUCAAAAUGUGGGAAGACUUGUAUGAACUGAGUAGAAAUUUUAUCUACAAGUAUAUUAAAGCCUAGUCAUUGAUUUCAUUUCUGGUAGAAGAAUGAAUGAAGCUGCUAUUGGGGGAUAACAUUGGAGAUUGGUGGCUUGGAUGCCAAAUGCACAAGACCAUACCUAAAAAUGCACACGACUUUCACUACUGGGAAUAUUUUAUUUUUUGUAGUCUGACCUAGAGCAUUUAUGAUAAGCUUUUAUCAUGGUAUAUAUUUAAGCUUCACACCUUUACAAAUGAUAUUUUUCCAAAUAAAAUUCUACAUUGAAUGUCUAAAAACUA